rnacentral:lncRNA from 1 species
UCUGCCUCCCAAGUGCUACUACUUUUUAUUACAAAGAACUUGGCUCUAAGAUUUUAUUUUCCUCCUCCCCCUCCUCUCCCUCUUUUUCCUCUUCUUCCUCCUUUUCCUCCUCUUCCUCCUCCUCCUCUUCCAUCUCCUCCUUUUUUUUUAAUUGGUGUUUCAAGACAGGGUUUUUUCAGUGUAGCCCUGGCUAUCCUGGAAGCCACUCUGUAGACCAAGCUGGGAUCAAGAUCUGCCUGCAUCUGCCUCCUGAGUGCCAACACCACCUGGCUAUUUACAUUGUCUUCUUUAAAUCUUAAAAUAGCUUGGUGUUAGAGAGGUUUCAUUGUGCAGGGGAUCCUAUAGCUUGGAAAUCUGGGAUCACACUAGUAAGCAGUGGAGCAAGAAUUUGAGCUUAGUACUGCUUAACUCCAAAUUUCAUGUGUGUGCUGUUUGUUAACUUUACCCAGGGUAGGCAUAGCACCUGUUCCCAGUAGCUGGAUGCCAGGUGUUUACAGGCACUAUCUCCGAUUCUCACAAUGCCUCUGGAAGGCAGUUACCAAGUUUUCUGAACUGAGCUGGAGGAGUCAGGUAGCCUGUGCAGCUGGUGACUGGGCCAGCUCUGAGUGGCUCCUAAGCCUCUUAACACUCUUCCUUUUUCUAAUAUGGAUCUGGCAAUUCUGCGUGACAUUUAUCCCUGACUUUUCUCUAUUUCUUCUUGAGGUGAAGGCCUAGGUUGGAACCUUUGGACUUUCAGGCACUGACCCAGCAGCUUCUGGACCAGUGUGACAGGCCGCCGUUUCCUUUGCUGACAUUCUCGUGCCUGCUGCCCAGGCUGCUUGUCUUCUCUUCCCUAGAGACCUCAACUCCCACAUGUGUCCUGCAAGCCUUAUCUCUCACCACAUGAGACGAGAGGUCUGUGACAAGCGUAUCUCAUAUGUACUGCUUGAAUUUCACUAGAGCUGGUGGCUGCAUUGCCUCUCGUGACCCUUUACCUGUGUCCCUGCCUCCUCUUCCUUUACCUGUGACCUCUGCCUGCUUUUCCCUCCUGUGUCCUUGCCUCAUCUUCAUUCCAAGCACACUGGUACUCCUCUUAGUAUGACCACAAUUUGAAAUAUUUUUUUGCUUAAUCCAAUUGUAUUUUCUCUUUAACUGAUACUAAGUUUCUCUUGUGUUACUCAAACAUAGUAGGUAUUUAGACCCGAUGUCCCCCACGCCCUUUCUUUAAGGCAGGUUAAAAAGAUGGGCUGGGAGAUAGCUCGGAGGUUAAGAAUGGUUCUUGCAUUACUUAUUAGAGGACUGGUGUUUGGAUCUCACCACCCACAUUGGGUGGUCACAUAUGCCUCUUAGUUCCAGCCUCAAGGAAUAUUCUACCACCUUCUGUUCUCUGUGGGCAUGCACGCACACAUAGAAAAUAAACUGGGCUUGGUGGUGUAUACUUUUAGUACCAGCACUUGAGAAGCAGAAAUAGGUGGAUCUUUGAGUUCAAGGUCAACCUGGUCUACAUAGCCAGUUUCAGGCAAGCCUGAACUGCCUGGCAUGGGUGCUUGGAACUGAAUGCCAGUCUUCUGCAGGAGCAGUCUGUGCUCUUAAUCACUGCAGUGGUGUUUGUUUGUUUGUUUGUUUUGUUUUGAGAGAUUUAUCUGAGUUACAACUAUUAGUAAUUUGUUCCUCUUAUUUUCCAGGAAUUAACUGAAAUCAACAAUCUGUCUAUUGUUUGUGUAUAAUUAAGAGGUGAUGGGGGGCUGGAGAGAUGGCUCAGUGGGUAAGAGCACUGACUGCUCUUCUGAAGGUCCGGUGUUCAAAUCCCAGCAAUCACAUGGUGGCUCACAACCAUCUGUAAAUGAGAUCUGACUCCCUCUUCUGGUGCAUCUGAAGACAGCUACAGUGUACUUAGAUAUAAUAAUAAAUAAAUCUUUAAAAAAAAGGUGAUGGUUUGAAAGAGAUCUGUUUUCCAUAGGUUCAUAUAUUGAAUUCUUGGACCUCACACUUCCCUGCUAUGACAGACUCUUAGAUCUCUGGAAUCAUAAGGCAAAUUAAACUCCUUUUUUCUAU